rnacentral:tRNA from 1 species
UUAAUUGAAACCAAAACAGAGGUAUAUCAUUGUUAAUGUUAAAAAUGGGGAAUCCCCAAUUAAG